UACGGAGGAUGCGAGCGUUAUCCGGAUUUAUUGGGUUUAAAGGGUGCGUAGGCGGACGCUUAGGUCAGCGGUAAAAUUGCGGGGCUCAACCUCGUCGAGCCGUUGAAACUGGGUGCCUUGAGUGGGCGAGAAGUACGCGGAAUGCGUGGUGUAGCGGUGAAAUGCAUAGAUAUCACGCAGAACUCCGAUUGCGAAGGCAGCGUACCGGCGCCCUACUGACGCUGAAGCACGAAGGCGUGGGUAUCGAACAGG
rnacentral:rRNA from 1 species